rnacentral:rRNA from 1 species
GACGAACGCUGGCGGCGUGCUUAACACAUGCAAGUCGAACGGAAAGGCCCUGCUUUUGUGGGGUGCUCGAGUGGCGAACGGGUGAGUAACACGUGAGUAACCUGCCCUUGACUUUGGGAUAACUUCAGGAAACUGGGGCUAAUACCGGAUAGGAGCUCCUGCUGCAUGGUGGGGGUUGGAAAGUUUCGGCGGUUGGGGAUGGACUCGCGGCUUAUCAGCUUGUUGGUGGGGUAGUGGCUUACCAAGGCUUUGACGGGUAGCCGGCCUGAGAGGGUGACCGGCCACAUUGGGACUGAGAUACGGCCCAGACUCCUACGGGAGGCAGCAGUGGGGAAUAUUGCACAAUGGGCGGAAGCCUGAUGCAGCAACGCCGCGUGCGGGAUGACGGCCUUCGGGUUGUAAACUGCUUUCGCCUGUGACGAAGCGUGAGUGACGGUAAUGGGUAAAGAAGCACCGGCUAACUACGUGCCAGCAGCCGCGGUGAUACGUAGGGUGCGAGCGUUGUCCGGAUUUAUUGGGCGUAAAGGGCUCGUAGGUGGUUGAUCGCGUCGGAAGUGUAAUCUUGGGGCUUAACCCUGAGCGUGCUUUCGAUACGGGUUGACUUGAGGAAGGUAGGGGAGAAUGGAAUUCCUGGUGGAGCGGUGGAAUGCGCAGAUAUCAGGAGGAACACCAGUGGCGAAGGCGGUUCUCUGGGCCUUUCCUGACGCUGAGGAGCGAAAGCGUGGGGAGCGAACAGGCUUAGAUACCCUGGUAGUCCACGCUGUAAACGGUGGGUACUAGGUGUGGGGUCCAUUCCACGGGUUCCGUGCCGUAGCUAACGCUUUAAGUACCCCGCCUGGGGAGUACGGCCGCAAGGCUAAAACUCAAAGGAAUUGACGGGGCCCCGCACAAGCGGCGGAGCAUGCGGAUUAAUUCGAUGCAACGCGUAGAACCUUACCUGGGUUUGACAUGGAUCGGGAGUGCUCAGAGAUGGGUGUGCCUCUUUUGGGGUCGGUUCACAGGUGGUGCAUGGCUGUCGUCAGCUCGUGUCGUGAGAUGUUGGGUUAAGUCCCGCAACGAGCGCAACCCUUGUUCACUGUUGCCAGCACGUUAUGGUGGGGACUCAGUGGAGACCGCCGGGGUCAACUCGGAGGAAGGUGGGGAUGACGUCAAGUCAUCAUGCCCCUUAUGUCCAGGGCUUCACGCAUGCUACAAUGGCUGGUACAGAGAGUGGCGAGCCUGUGAGGGUGAGCGAAUCUCGGAAAGCCGGUCUCAGUUCGGAUUGGGGUCUGCAACUCGACCUCAUGAAGUCGGAGUCGCUAGUAAUCGCAGAUCAGCAACGCUGCGGUGAAUACGUUCCCGGG